rnacentral:rRNA from 1 species
ACGUAGGUGGCGAGCGUUGUCCGGAAUUACUGGGUGUAAAGCGCGUGUAGGCGGGAGGCCAAGUCUGUGGUGAAAUCGCCUGGCUUAACUGGGCGGGGUCCGUGGAAACUGGUCACCUGGAAGUCGGUAGAGGCAAGUGGAAUUCCCGGUGUAGUGGUGAAAUGCGUAGAGAUCGGGAGGAACACCAGUGGCGAAGGCGGCUUGCUGGGCCGGACCUGACGCUGAGACGCGAAGGCGUGGGGAGCGAACGGGA